UGCAUUUAAAGGGUUAUAAGGAUUGCGAUGAAAACGUGAAUCUAAACUGUAAAUUCGUGAUGAGAAGCAAUUAAUAAUGAUAAUCAACCAACUCGGAAUUGUAAUAGGUUUUGAUUGCCUUGCUAACAUUCAAGUUGAAACAUGAAAAGAAUAGCUUAAUUGUCUCGUUUAAUUGUCAAUUUCACUCUUUUUUUGCUUUUACUUAUUGAUUGUUCAUCUUGAAGUUGAUUUGCACAAAAAAGUGUGAUCUUUUUGAUGCUCUUGAUUAAGUCUGAGUUUGAAUACAUUUUGUCUGUGAUUUAACAAUCAGUCAUAACAGUUGAUCAUUCAAAUUCACUCUCAUGAUCAAUAUCAUUGCUUUAAAUAACCUUCUCAAUAUUCAAAUUAGAUUGCAGCUGAAUGUAAUGAAUGUAAGACAAUAAUAGUUUUUAAUGAACACAAAUGCUGAUCAUCAGACUAAUCAUCAUUAUACAUAACCAUCACCAUUAUUUUGAGCAUCAUCAACUUUUUGACUGUUAUCAUAAUUAAACUAUCAUUACAUUACUUUAACUGUCGGGCUAAUUGUUGCUGUCUGACCAGUUAAAACAUAAUUUAAACUCUUCCUUUUCAUGUGGUUUAUCGGAACAGUUAAUGGUCAAUCAACUAAUAUUGAUUCUAUUGAUUUAGAUUAUUCAAAAUUUUAAUAAUCAGUUGUGAUUUACUUUUAAUAGCAAAUCUUUUAAAUAGAUGGCACUUUUAAGGGUUCAAUUAAGAUUGAAACAAAAUGGCAAUUUUUGAACCCAAUGAAUCAUAAGCAAAGGGGAAAGGGUAACAAUGGAGCUGACAAGAAGCGCGAGUUUAGCUGUUGCAUUGAAGAUCUCUAUCGUCUGGUUAUUAUUUGAAUCUUAAUUUUUAACGUCUUUAAAUUUUGACCAAUUAAGUAAAUGGUCGUUGUUGGUUGAUCCCGAGGAUCUAAAUUGAAACAAAUUCAUCAACAAUCAACGGAUUAACUGUGAAAUAAUAUAAGAAACAUGUUAAAGUGUUAAAGUAUGGUUACCCUAAAAUGGAGUCAAAGAAUGAGUGGAGGCAACAAAUAACCAUGCGGAUGAAGGACCUUAAUUACGUUAUGUAUGAGCUAAUCAGUUAAUUGGUUUGCAUUUGACGAUUGAAUUGACAAAAGGGGAAUAGUGAAAACAAUUGGAAGAUCUAGCGUUUGAUCAAUUCAUAAUCAACAACAGUCAACAAAUGCUGCAAAAUGUAAAACGGAAACAACCCUUCAAGCUAACAUGCUGAGGUCACAUUGUUUAACUUGGUGUCAACCCAAACAUUACCAACAAAUAAAACUCUGGUUAACUCUUUUUUUCAUUCUCAUUCCGCCCUUACUUUUUUUCAUCUCAACAGUAGCAAAGAGGUCAAAACGAGGACAAUUUUUCUAAUUCUGCCUUACCAUUGUCACACCAAAAAAUAGGAUCGCUUGUCAAAUACUUGGAUGCAAACCGUUAUGAAAGUAAAAAUUUGACGAUGAUUGAUCCCUUUCACUGGCUUCAUCAAUACAAUCAACACGAAACGACAAUCAUGUCAACAACAUUCACUUUCUCAAUCUGUCACUGGAUCAGAAGAUCUGAUAUAUCUAGAAUUGGAUUGAUUACAUGUGAUAUUGGAGCUAAUGAGUGUAGUGAUUGGAUCGAUCAACAAAACAAGCUAAUCUGCUUUGAUGACUUGGAUAAUUGAAACAUUCAAUGGAUGCCAACAGCUGACAUGCAAUGAAAAAUACUUGUACAAUCCUCACUGUGAAAAUCAAUCACAUUGUCAUCAAUGUUUGGAUUAAUAUGGUUAAAUGAUUUGGACUUGCAAAUACUGACGCAAAAUUGAUGGUCAAAGUAAAAAUAGAUUCAAUCAAAUCGCUAACUACUAACACAUUAAAAAUAAAAUUAUUGAUUUAUCAGGCAAUUGGUAAAAGUCAAUAUAUGGUUGAGUAGUGUUUAACCAUGAUAAUCAUUAUGGUAGCCAUUGAACUGUUAUUUAACAAAUGAGGUUAUGAUCAAGAGUUGGAGUUGGUGUGAAUUAUGAUCAAUGCUUACCAUUAUAUGCAAGACUUGGAUCUCGAUUGUCUUCGGAUUUAAGAAAAUAAGGAAAAACUUCUUCCCAU